GCUCAUUAAAUCAGUUAUCGUUUAUUUGAUAGUACCUUACUACUUGGAUAACCGUGGUAAUUCUAGAGCUAAUACAUGCUGAAAACCCCAACUUCGGGAGGGGUGUAUUUAUUAGAUAAAAAACCAACGCCCUUCGGGGCUUCUUGGUGAUUCAUGAUAACUUUACGGAUCGCAUGGCCUUGCGCUGGCGACGGUUCAUUCAAAUUUCUGCCCUAUCAACUUUCGAUGGUAAGGUAUUGGCUUACCAUGGUUUCAACGGGUAACGGGGAAUUAGGGUUCGAUUCCGGAGAGGGAGCCUGAGAAACGGCUACCACAUCCAAGGAAGGCAGCAGGCGCGCAAAUUACCCAAUCCCGACACGGGGAGGUAGUGACAAUAAAUACUGAUACAGGGCUCUUUUGGGUCUUGUAAUUGGAAUGAGUACAAUUUAAACCUCUUAACGAGGAACAAUUGGAGGGCAAGUCUGGUGCCAGCAGCCGCGGUAAUUCCAGCUCCAAUAGCGUAUAUUAAAGUUGUUGCAGUUAAAAAGCUCGUAGUUGAAACUUGGGUCUGGCUGGCAGGUCCGCCUCACCGCGUGUACUUGUCCGGCCGGGCCUUCCUUCUGGAGAACCUCAUGCCCUUUACUGGGCGUGUUGGGGACCAGGACUUUUACUUUGAAAAAAUUAGAGUGUUCAAAGCAGGCCUUUGCUCGAAUACGUUAGCAUGGAAUAAUAGAAUAGGACGUGCGGUCCUAUUUUGUUGGUUUCUAGGACCGCCGUAAUGAUUAAUAGGGACAGUCGGGGGCAUCAGUAUUCAAUUGUCAGAGGUGAAAUUCUUGGAUUUAUUGAAGACUAACUACUGCGAAAGCAUUUGCCAAGGAUGUUUUCAUUAAUCAGUGAACGAAAGUUAGGGGAUCGAAGACGAUCAGAUACCGUCGUAGUCUUAACCGUAAACUAUGCCGACUAGGGAUCGGGCGAUGUUCUUUUUCUGACUCGCUCGGCACCUUACGAGAAAUCAAAGUUU
rnacentral:rRNA from 1 species